GGAUGUGAGAGGAGGUGCUGGAGCCAGGAGGUUCCUCCAGGCUCCACCGAGUGGAGACCUGAGAUGCCCUCCCAGGGCUGAUGGCAGACAAGGCUGCGUUCAGGAGCGUGGGGUGGAAGAAAGCUUAAAAACACAUACAGCACUUGCAUGGAAACUCCUAGAGGAAAAUGGAACCAGGAAGAAUCAGAACAGUGCCCAGGGGCGCCUCCCUCCCACAGCACAGAGUAAAAAGAGGAUUCCAGUGCUACCUCAAAAUGGGACAUUGCAAACUUGAACAAAACCCACAAAGGAGAAGUUGCCAUGUCUUUCCAGCUUUUGGAACAGCUGGAGCUUGUCUGAAAGAAACCACACCCUGGACCUCCUCAGUGAGUCAUGGCCCUUCUCCUUCCUUGGGGAAUACCCGCAUUUCUUCCUGAUGGAGAAGACUUUAUAUGGAGACACCUCUUUUAUCCCUCAUGGGUGGGGGGAUGGGGCAGGAAGAAAGUUUCCAAUCUAAUAUUAACAUUCAAUUUCAGAAAAGUGUUUCUUGGGCAGCCUGACUUGCUUCGAUAGGUCUGUAUCAAACACAGAGCAUACCUUCAGCUGAGGGGGAAACACUGGCUUUCUAAAGGGUACUAAAUCUCCUCACUCAAACUUUACUGUCCGGGAAAAUUAAAAAAAUAAUUCCUUAUGAAAAUCAUCUCUCUGAUUCUAGGCACCAGAUGACUCUGAAAGUCAUGUUAGGCGCACAUCACAUGCACCCAG
rnacentral:lncRNA from 1 species